rnacentral:rRNA from 1 species
GACGAACGCUGGCGGCGUGCCUAAUACAUGCAAGUCGAGCGGACGGAUGGGAGCUUGCUCCCAGACCGUCAGCGGCGGACGGGUGAGUAACACGUGGGCUACCUGCCUGUAAGACUGGGAUAACUCCGGGAAACCGGGGCUAAUACCGGAUAACUCUUUCCCUCACAUGAGGGAAAGCUGAAAGAUGGCAUCUCGCUAUCACUUACAGAUGGGCCCGCGGCGCAUUAGCUAGUUGGUGAGGUAACGGCUCACCAAGGCGACGAUGCGUAGCCGACCUGAGAGGGUGAUCGGCCACACUGGGACUGAGACACGGCCCAGACUCCUACGGGAGGCAGCAGUAGGGAAUCUUCCGCAAAGGACGAAAGUCUGACGGAGCAACGCCGCGUGAGUGAUGAAGGUUUUCGGAUCGUAAAACUCUGUUGUCAGGGAAGAACAAGUACCGGAGUAACUGCCGGUACCUUGACGGUACCUGACCAGAAAGCCACGGCUAACUACGUG